rnacentral:rRNA from 1 species
GCCUAACACAUGCAAGUCGAACGGUAACAGAAAGCAGCUUGCUGCUUUGCUGACGAGUGGCGGACGGGUGAGUAAUGUCUGGGAAACUGCCUGAUGGAGGGGGAUAACUACUGGAAACGGUAGCUAAUACCGCAUAACGUCGCAAGACCAAAGAGGGGGACCUUCGGGCCUCUUGCCAUCGGAUGUGCCCAGAUGGGAUUAGCUAGUAGGUGGGGUAACGGCUCACCUAGGCGACGAUCCCUAGCUGGUCUGAGAGGAUGACCAGCCACACUGGAACUGAGACACGGUCCAGACUCCUACGGGAGGCAGCAGUGGGGAAUAUUGCACAAUGGGCGCAAGCCUGAUGCAGCCAUGCCGCGUGUAUGAAGAAGGCCUUCGGGUUGUAAAGUACUUUCAGCGGGGAGGAAGGGAGUAAAGUUAAUACCUUUGCUCAUUGACGUUACCCGCAGAAGAAGCACCGGCUAACUCCGUGCCAGCAGCCGCGGUAAUACGGAGGGUGCAAGCGUUAAUCGGAAUUACUGGGCGUAAAGCGCACGCAGGCGGUUUGUUAAGUCAGAUGUGAAAUCCCCGGGCUCAACCUGGGAACUGCAUCUGAUACUGGCAAGCUUGAGUCUCGUAGAGGGGGGUAGAAUUCCAGGUGUAGCGGUGAAAUGCGUAGAGAUCUGGAGGAAUACCGGUGGCGAAGGCGGCCCCCUGGACGAAGACUGACGCUCAGGUGCGAAAGCGUGGGGGAGCAAACAGGAUUAAGAUACCCUGGUAGUCCACGCCGUAAACGAUGUCGACUUGGAGGUUGUGCCCUUGAGGCGUGGCUUCCGGAGCUAACGCGUUAAGUCGACCGCCUGGGGAGUACGGCCGCAAGGUUAAAACUCAAAUGAAUUGACGGGGGCCCGCACAAGCGGUGGAGCAUGUGGUUUAAUUCGAUGCAACGCGAAGAACCUUACCUGGUCUUGACAUCCACGGAAGUUUUCAGAGAUGAGAAUGUGCCUUCGGGAACCGUGAGACAGGUGCUGCAUGGCUGUCGUCAGCUCGUGUUGUGAAAUGUUGGGUUAAGUCCCGCAACGAGCGCAACCCUUAUCCUUUGUUGCCAGCGGUCCGGCCGGGAACUCAAAGGAGACUGCCAGUGAUAAACUGGAGGAAGGUGGGGAUGACGUCAAGUCAUCAUGGCCCUUACGACCAGGGCUACACACGUGCUACAAUGGCGCAUACAAAGAGAAGCGACCUCGCGAGAGCAAGCGGACCUCAUAAAGUGCGUCGUAGUCCGGAUUGGAGUCUGCAACUCGACUCCAUGAAGUCGGAAUCGCUAGUAAUCGUGGAUCAGAAUGCCACGGUGAAUACGUUCCCGGGCCUUGUACACACCGCCCGUCACACCAUGGGAGUGGGUUGCAAAAGAAGUAGUGUAGCUUAACCUUCGGGAGGGCGCUACCACUUGUGAUCAUGACUGGG